rnacentral:misc_RNA from 1 species
UUUCCGUAGGUGAACCUGCGGAAGGAUCAUUAUUGUAUAACCGAGGUGCGAGGGCUGUCGCUGACCCGAAAGAUCGGGCACGCCCGAUUGCCCCCACACCCAUCCAUCUCACCCCUAUGUGCACCACCGCGUGGGUCCCCCUUUGGCUUGUUCGGAGGGGGGCUUACGUGUUCACACAAACUUUGUAUGCAGUGUAGAAUGUAUUUUUUGUUUUUGCGAUCACGCAAUCAAUACAACUUUCAACAACGGAUCUCUUGGCUCUC